rnacentral:rRNA from 1 species
UGUGCCUACGGGGGGCAGCAGUGAGGAAUAUUGGUCAAUGGGCGCGAGCCUGAACCAGCCAAGUAGCGUGAAGGAUGACUGCCCUACGGGUUGUAAACUUCUUUUAUAAAGGAAUGAAGUGAGGCACGUGUGCCUUUUUGUAUGUAUUUUAUGAAUAAGGAUCGGCUAACUCCGUGCCAGCAGCCGCGGUAAUACGGAGGAUCCGGGCGUUAUCCGGUUUUAUUGGGUUUAAAGGGAGCGUAGUUGGGUUGUUAAGCCAGUUG